UACAGCCAUAGGACGUUGAAACACCGGUUCUCGUACGAUCACCGAAGUUAAGCAACAUCUAACCUGGUCAGUACCUAGAUGAGUGAUCAUAAGGGAAAAC